AAACCAUGGUGGGGACACUUAAGGAGUAAAUCGUUGAAUCUUUUCCAACACUCAUAAAAUUGCUCACCCUGUCUUUGAUAAAAAUCACGUAUCUCUCUCUUAAGAGC
rfam:Citrus clementina cultivar Clemenules unplaced genomic scaffold scaffold_3, whole genome shotgun sequence.